rnacentral:rRNA from 1 species
UAGGGAAUAUUGCAAAAUGGGCGCAAGCCCGAUGCAGCAACGCCGCGUGGGCGAUGAAGGCCUUCGGGUCGUAAAGCCCUUUUUGAGGGGAUGAGGAAGGACGGUACCCUCAGAAUAAGCCCCGGCUAACUACGUGCCAGCAGCCGCGGUAAAACGUAGGAGGCGAGCGUUAUCCGGAUUUACCGGGCGUAAAGCGCGUGCAGGCGGAUUGGAGAGUUGGAUGUGAAAGCUCCCGGCUUAACUGGGAGAGGUCGUUCAAUACUUCCAGUCUUGAGUGCAGUAGAGGGAAGUGGAAUUCCGGGUGUAGUGGUGAAAUGCGUAGAUAUCCGGAGGAACACCAGUGGCGAAAGCGGCUUCCUGGACUGUAACUGACGCUCAGACGCGAAAGCUAGGGUAGCAAACGG